GCCCAACGCAACUCAUAGCUCCGCUCUUGAAACUGUAGGCUCAAAUAGAUGACUCCUACCACUGGUCAUAGAUUAAGAAUCUAGCUCAUGGAUCAGAAACUCAAUGCCUCCUCUGCUAUCAAUGACACUACUAUUGAAGUUGAUCUUGAGGUAGGUCAAUGAAGGAGGCUCUCAAGAGAAGAAAAUCCUACAGGUCACCGCAUGAGU
rnacentral:lncRNA from 1 species